rnacentral:tRNA from 1 species
GGUUGUGGCUCAGUGGUGGAGCGCUUGCCUAGCACACAUGAGGCACUAGGUUUGAUCCCCAGCACCA